GACGAACGCUGGCGGCGUGCCUAAUACAUGCAAGUAGAACGCUGAAGCUUGGUGCUUGCACCGAGCGGAUGAGUUGCGAACGGGUGAGUAACGCGUAGGUAACCUGCCUGGUAGCGGGGGAUAACUAUUGGAAACGAUAGCUAAUACCGCAUAAGAGUAGAUGUUGCAUGACAUUUGCUUAAAAGGUGCAAUUGCAUCACUACCAGAUGGACCUGCGUUGUAUUAGCUAGUUGGUGAGGUAACGGCUCACCAAGGCAACGAUACAUAGCCGACCUGAGAGGGUGAUCGGCCACACUGGGACUGAGACACGGCCCAGACUCCUACGGGAGGCAGCAGUAGGGAAUCUUCGGCAAUGGACGGAAGUCUGACCGAGCAACGCCGCGUGAGUGAAGAAGGGUUUCGGAUCGUAAAGCUCGGUUGUAAGAGAAGAACGAGUGUGAGAGUGGAAAGUUCACACUGUGACGGUAUCUUACCAGAAAGGGGCGGCUAACUACGUG
rnacentral:rRNA from 1 species